rnacentral:rRNA from 1 species
UACGUAGGGGGCUAGCGUUGUCCGGAAUCAUUGGGCGUAAAGCGCGUGUAGGCGGCCCGGUAAGUCCGCUGUGAAAGUCGGGGGCUCAACCCUGGGAUGCCGGUGGAUACUGUCGGGCUCGAGUCCGGAAGAGGCGAGUGGAAUUCCUGGUGUAGCGGUGAAAUGCGCAGAUAUCAGGAGGAACACCAAUGGCGAAGGCAGCUCGCUGGGACGUGACUGACGCUGAGACGCGAAAGCGUGGGGAGCAAACAGG